rnacentral:rRNA from 1 species
GACGAACGCUGGCGGCGUGCUUAACACAUGCAAGUCGAACGGAAAGGCCCUGCCUUUUGGCGCUGCUCGAGUGGUGAACGGGUGAGUAACACGUGGGUAACCUGCCCUUCCCCUUGGGGUAACUUCAUGAAACUUGGGCUAAUAGCGGAUAGGAUCUCUCGCUGCAGGGUGGGGGUUGGUAAGUUUCGGCGGUUGGGGAUGGACUCGCCGCUUAUGAGGUUGUUGGUUGGGUAGUGGCUGACCAAGGCUUUGACGGGUAGCCGGGCUGAGAGGGUCAGCGGACACAUUGGGACUGGGCUGCGGCACAGCCUACUACGGGAGGCAGCGGUGGGGAAGAGUGCACAAUGGGCGGAAGCAUGAUGCAGCAAAGCCGCGUGCGGGAUGACGGCAUUCGGGUUGUAAACCGCUUUCGCCUGUGACGAGGCGUGAGUGACGGUAAUGGGUAAAGAAGCACCGGCUAACUACGUG